rnacentral:rRNA from 1 species
AGAGUUUGAUCAUGGCUCAGAUUGAACGCUGGCGGCAGGCCUAACACAUGCAAGUCGAACGGUGACAGGAAGCAGCUUGCUGCUUCGCUGACGAGUGGCGGACGGGUGAGUAAUGUCUGGGAAACUGCCUGAUGGAGGGGGAUAACUACUGGAAACGGUAGCUAAUACCGCAUAAUGUCGCAAGACCAAAGAGGGGGACCUUCGGGCCUCUUGCCAUCGGAUGUGCCCAGAUGGGAUUAGCUUGUUGGUGGGGUAACGGCUCACCAAGGCGACGAUCCCUAGCUGGUCUGAGAGGAUGACCAGCCACACUGGAACUGAGACACGGUCCAGACUCCUACGGGAGGCAGCAGUGGGGAAUAUUGCACAAUGGGCGCAAGCCUGAUGCAGCCAUGCCGCGUGUAUGAAGAAGGCCUUCGGGUUGUAAAGUACUUUCAGCGGGGAGGAAGGGAGUAAAGUUAAUACCUUUGCUCAUUGACGUUAUCCGCAGAAGAAGCACCGGCUAACUCCGUGCCAGCAGCCGCGGUAAUACGGAGGGUGCAAGCGUUAAUCGGAAUUACUGGGCGUAAAGCGCACGCAGGCGGUUUGUUAAGUCAGAUGUGAAAUCCCCGGGCUCAACCUGGGAACUGCAUCUGAUACUGGCAAGCUUGAGUCUCGUAGAGGGGGGUAGAAUUCCAGGUGUAGCGGUGAAAUGCGUAGAGAUCUGGAGGAAUACCGGUGGCGAAGGCGGCCCCCUGGACGAAGACUGACGCUCAGGUGCGAAAGCGUGGGGAGCAAACAGGAUUAGAUACCCUGGUAGUCCACGCCGUAAACGAUGUCGACUUGGAGGUUGUGCCCUUGAGGCGUGGCUUCCGGAGCUAACGCGUUAAGUCGACCGCCUGGGGAGUACGGCCGCAAGGUUAAAACUCAAAUGAAUUGACGGGGGCCCGCACAAGCGGUGGAGCAUGUGGUUUAAUUCGAUGCAACGCGAAGAACCUUACCUGGUCUUGACAUCCACGGAAGUUUUCAGAGAUGAGAAUGUGCCUUCGGGAACCGUGAGACAGGUGCUGCAUGGCUGUCGUCAGCUCGUGUUGUGAAAUGUUGGGUUAAGUCCCGCAACGAGCGCAACCCUUAUCCUUUGUUGCCAGCGGUCCGGCCGGGAACUCAAAGGAGACUGCCAGUGAUAAACUGGAGGAAGGUGGGGAUGACGUCAAGUCAUCAUGGCCCUUACGACCAGGGCUACACACGUGCUACAAUGGCGCAUACAAAGAGAAGCGACCUCGCAAGAGCAAGCGGACCUCAUAAAGUGCGUCGUAGUCCGGAUUGGAGUCUGCAACUCGACUCCAUGAAGUCGGAAUCGCUAGUAAUCGUGGAUCAGAAUGCCACGGUGAAUACGUUCCCGGGCCUUGUACACACCGCCCGUCACACCAUGGGAGUGGGUUGCAAAAGAAGUAGGUAGCUUAACCUUCGGGAGGGCGCUUACCACUUUGUGAUUCAUGACUGGGGUGAAGUCGUAACAAGGUAACCGUAGGGGAACCUGCGGUUG